GUACGAGAACAGGUUAGGCUUAGGGUAUGUGUUAGGGUAAGGAUUAAUGUUAGUGUACGGGUUAGGAUUAGGGUACCAUUAAGGUAAGGGUUAGGGUAAGGGUUAGGUACGGUUUAGGGUACAGGUUAGGGUACGACAAUGGCUUAGGGUACCCGUUAGGGUACGGACUAGUGUUAGUGUACGGUUUAGGAUUAGGGUACGGUUAAGGUAAGGGUUAGUGUACGGGUUAUGGUUAGGGCUAGGGAACGGGUACGGUUUCGGUACAGGUAAGGGUACCAAAACGUAUUAGGGUUACAGUAUGUCUUAGGAUUAGGGUAAAGUUAGGGUACGUGUUAGGGUACAUGUUAGUGUACGGAUUAGGUUUAGGGUAUGGGUUAGGUUUAGGUUUAAGGUUAGGGAACCAGUAAGGUUUAGGGUGCAGGUUAGGUUAUGACAACAGGUUAGAGUUAGCAUACGUGUUAGGGUAUGGGUUAGUGUACAAGUUAGGAUAGGGGUAUGGGUUAGCGUAAGGUUUUGGGUUCGGGUUAGGGUUCAGUUUGGGGUACAACAAUGGGUUUGGGUUAGGGUCCGUGUUAGGGUAAGGGUUAGUAUUAGUAUACGGGUUAGGAUUAGGGUACUGUUUAGGGUAAGGGUUAGGGAACAGGUACAGUUUAGGAUACAGGUUAGGGUACAACAAAGGAUUAGGGUUAGGGUACAGAUUAGUGUUAGUGUAAGGGUUAGGGUUAGGGAACGGGUAUGGUUUAGGGUACAGGCUAGGGUACGACAAUGGUUUAGGGUUAGGGUACAUGUUAGGGUAUGGGUUAGUUUUAGUUUACUGUUUAGGAUUAUGGUGUGGGUUACGGUAAGGGUUAGAUUAAGGGUUAGUGUUAGCGUUGGGUACGGUUUAGGGUACUGCAGCGGGUUAGGCUUAGGGUACGUGUUAUGGUACGGAUUAGUGUUAGUGUACAGGUUAGGAUUAGGGUACAGUUAGGGUAAGGAUUAGGGUAAGGGUUAUGGUUAGGGUUAGGCCUAGGGAACAGGUACGGCUUAGCAUAUAGAUUAGGGUACGACAAAGGGUUAGGCUUAGGGUACAUCUUAGGGUACGGAUUAGUGUUAGUGUACAGGUUAGUAUCAGGGUGUGGUAAGGGUAAGGGUUAUAGUUAGGGUUAGGGAACGGGUACAGUUUAGGGUGCAGGUUAGCGUAUGACAACAGGUUAGGGUACGUGUUAGGGUACGGGUUGGUGUACAGGUUAGUAUUAGGUUACAGGUUAGAGUAAUGGUUAGGGAUUGGGCUCAGUUUAGGGUACAGGUUAGGGUAUGACAACAUGUUAGGUUUAGGGUACUGUUAGGGUACGUGUUAGUGUAUGAAUUAGUAUUAGGGUACGGGUUGCAGUAGGAUUAGGGUAAGGGUUAGGGUUACGGAACGGGUAUGGUUUAGGGUACAGGUAAGGGUACAUGUUACAGUAUGGGUUAGUGUUAGUGUACGGGUUAGGAUUACUGUACGGGUUAGGGUAAGGGUUAGGGUAUUAGGACUAGGGAAUGUAUACGUUUUAGGCUACAGAAUAGGAUAUGACAAUGGGUUAUAGUCAUGGUAUGUGUUAGGGUACGGGUCAUUGUUAGUAUACGGUUUAGGAUUAGGGUACACGUUAGGGCACGGGUGCGAUUUAGGGUACAGUUUAGUGUAUGACAGCAGGUUAGUGUUAGGAUAUGGGUUAGGGAAUGGACAGUUUAGGUUACAGGUUAGGGUACUACAACGAGUUAGGUUUAGGGUAUGUGUUAGGGUACGUGUUAGUGUACGGAUUAGUAUUAGGGUAAGGUUUAGGGUAAGGUUACGGUUAGCAUUAGGGAACGGGUACGGUUUAGGGUACAGGUUAGGGUACGACAGCGGGUUAGGAUUACGGUACGUGUUAGGGAACGGGUUAGUGUUAGUGUAUGGGUUAGGAUUAGGGUAUGGGUUAAGGAACGAGUAGUUUAGAGAAAAGGUUAGGGAAUGACAAUGUGUUAUGGUUAGGGUACGUGUUAGGGUAUGGGUUAGUGUUAAGGUACGGGUUAGGAUUAGGGUAUGGGUUAGGGUUAGUGUUAGGAUUAGGGUAUGGGUAUGGUUUAGGAUACAGGAUAGGGUAUGACAACGGGUUAGGGUAUGUAUUAGGGUAUGGGUUAGUGUCAGGGUACGGGUUAGGGUAAGGCUUCUGGUAAGGGUUAGGUUAAGGGUUAGGAUUAGGGAAAGGGUAGAGUGUAGGGUACAAGUUAGGGUACAACAACAGGUUAGGCUUAGGGUAUGUUAUGGGUACCGAUUAGUAUAGUGUACGGGUUAGGAUUAGGGUACGUAUCAGGUAAGGGUUUGGGUUAGGUUUAGGGUUAGAGAACUGGUACGGUUUACAGUACAGGUUAGGGUACGACAACGGGUUAGGUUACGUGGUAGUGUAAGGGUUAGUAUUAGUGUAUGAGUUAGGAUUAGGAUAAGCGUUAGGGUAAGGAUUAGGGUUAGGGAACCAGUAAGGUUUAGGGUACUGGUUAGGGUAUGAAAACAGGUUAGAGUUAGGGUACUUGUUAAGUUAUGGGUUAGUGUUACAGAUUAGGAUUAGGGUAAGGGUUAGAGUAAGGAAUAGGAAUAGGAUUAGUGUUAGGGAACGAGUAUGGUUUAAGGUACAGGUUAGGCUACGACAACGAAUUAGGGUUAGGGUACUUGUUAGGGUACAGGUUAGUGUUAGUGUAUGGGUUAUGAUUAGGGUACGGAUUAGGGUUACGGUUAGGGAAUGGGUGCGGUUUAGGGUACAGGUUAGUGUAGGGUUAUGGUAUGUGUUGGGUAUGGGUUAUUGUUAGUGUACGGAUUAGGGUACGGGUUAGGGUACGGGUUAGGGUAAGGUUUAGGGUUAGGGUUACGGAAUGGGUACUGUUUAGGGUGCAGGUUAGGGUAUGACAACGGGUUAGCGUAUGUGUUAGGGUAUUCAUUAGUGUACAGGUUACGAUGAGGGUACGGGUUAGAGUAAGGUGUAGGGUUCAGGUUAGGGUUAGGGAACGGGUAUGGUUUAGGGCAUAAGUUAGGGUAUGGCAAUGAGUUAGGGUAUGUAUUGGGGUAUGGGUUAGUUUAUGGUUAGGAUUAGGGUACGGAUUAGGGUUAGUGUUAGGAUUAGAGUACAGGUUAGGGAACGUGUACGGUUUAGGGUACACGUUAGGGUAUGACAAUGGGUUAGGUUGUGUGUUAGAGUACGCGUUAGUGUAUGGUUAGGAUUAGGGUAUGGGUUAGGGAAUGGGUACGGUUUAGGGUACAGGUUAGGGCACCACAACGGGUUAGGCUUAGGGUACGUUAUGGGUACCGAUUAGUGUACGGGUUAGGAUUAGGGAACAGGUUAGUGUGUUAGGGUUAGGAUUAGGAUAAGCGUUAGGGUAAGGGUUAAGGUUAGGGUUAGGGAAUGGGUGCGGUUUAGGGUACAGGUUAGGGUACGAAAACGGGAUAGGAUUAGGGUACGUGGGUUAGGAUUAGGGUACGUUUUAGGAUACGGGUUAGUGUUAGGGUUAGGAUUAGGUUUAGUGUAGGGAAUGGGUACGGUUUAGGGUACGUUAGGGUAUGGGUUAGUGUUAGCAUACGCGUUAGGAUUAGGAUACAGGUUAGGGUACGUGUUAGGGUUAGUGUUAGUGUACGGGUUAGGAUUAGGGUACAGUUUGGGUAAGGGUUAUGGUUAGGAUUAGGGAACGGGUAGACUUUAGGGUACAGGUUAGUUUUGGUGUACAGAUUAGGAUUAGUGCAUGGGUUACGGUAAGGGUUAGGGAUCGGGUAUGGUUUAGGUACAGGUUAGGGUAAGAUAACGGGUUAGGCUUAGGGUACUUAUUAGGGUACGGGUUAGUGUUAGUGUACGGGUUAGGUUAAGGUUAGGGUUAGCGUCAGUGUUAGGGAACGGGUAUGGCUUUGGUUACAGUUUAGGGUACAACAAUGGGUUAGGGUAGGGAACGGGAAUGGUUUAGGGUACAGGUUAGAGUACAACAGGUUAGUGUUAGGGUACGUUAGGGUAUGGUUUACUGUUAGGGUACUGGUUAGGGUUGGUGAAUGGGUACGGUUUAGAUUACACAUUAGGGUACGACAACAGGUUAGGCUUAGGGUACGUGUUAGGGUACCGACUAGUGUUAGUGUAUGGGUUAGGAUUAUGGUACGGUUCGGGUAAGGGUUAGGGUAAGGGUUUUGGUUAGGGAACGGGUACGGUUUAGGGUACAGGUUAUGGCACGACAGCAGGUUAGGGUUAGGGUACAUGUUAGAGUAUGGGUUAGUUUUAGUGUAUAGGUUAGGGUUAGGGUAAGGUUUAGGGUUAGGGGUUAGGUAAUGGGUAGGGUUAAGGUUACAGGUUAGGAUAUGACAAGAGGUUAGGUUUAGGGUAUGUGUUAGGGUACGGGUUAGGAAUAGGGCACCAUUUAGGGUCAGGUUAGGGUGAGGGUGAGGGUUAGGGAACGGGUACACUUUAGGGUACAGGUUAGGGGACGACAGCAGUUUAGGGUUAAGAUGCGUGUUAGGGUACAUGUUAGUCUUAGUGUUUCGGUUACGAUUAGGGUUUGGGUUAGGGUACGUGUUAGGGUACCGGUUAGUGUUACUGUACGGGUUAGGUUUAGGGUACGGUUAAGGUAAGGGUUAGGAUUAAGGUUAGGGCUAGGGUACGCGAAUGGUUUAGGGUAAAGGGUAUGACAACGGGUUUGGGUUAGGGCACGUGUUAGAGUAUGGAUUAGUGUUAGUGUACGUGUUAAGAUAGGAGUAAGUUUAGGGUAAGGGUUAUUGUUAGAGUUAUGGUUAGGGAACAGGUACGGUUUAGGGUACAGGUAAGGUUCUGACAACGGUUAUGGUACGUAUUAGUGUUACUGUAUGGUUUAGGGUACGGGUUGGGGUAAGGGUUAGAUUUAUGGGUAGGCAACAGUACGGUUUCGGGUACAGGUUAGGGUACGAAAACGGUUUAGGGUUAGGGUACAUGCUAAGGUAAGGCUUAGGGUUAGUGUACGGGUUAAGAUUAGGGUACGGGUUAGGGUAAGGAUUAGGGUUAGUGUUCGGGUUAGGGAACGGGUACGCUUUAGGGUACAGGUUAGGGUAUGACAACGGAUUAGGGUUAGGGUAUGUGUUAGGGUAAGAGUUAGUUUUAGCGUACAGGUUAGGAUUAGGGUACAGGUUAGGGUAAGGGUCAGGGAUAGGAAAUGGGUAUGGUUUAAAAUACAGGUUAGGGUACGACAAUGGUUUAGGGUUAGGGUACAUGUUAGGUAAUGUGUUAGUGUUAAGGUACAGGUUAGGAUUAGGGUACGGGUUAGGGAACGGUUUAGGGUACAAGUUAGGGUACAACAGGUUAGGCUUAGGGUAUGUUAUGGGUACCGAUUAGUAUAGUGUAUGGGUUAGGGUUAGGGUACAACAACGGGUUAGGGUACAUGGUAGUGUAAGGGUUAGUAUUAGUGUAUGGGUUAGAAUUAGGAUAAGCGUUAGGGUAAGGAUUAGGGUUAGGGAACCAGUAAGGUUUAGGGUACUGGUUAGGGUACGAAAACAGGUUAGAGUUAGGGUACUUGUUAAGUUAUGGGUUAGUGUUACAGAUUAGGAUUAGGGUAAGGGUUAGAGUAAGGAAUAGGGAUAGGAUUAGUGUUAGGGAAUGAGUAUGGUUUAAGGUACAGGUUAGGCUAUGACAACGGAUUAGGAUUAGGGUACUUGUUAGGGUACAGGUUAGUGUUAGUGUAUGGGUUAUGAUUAGGGUAUGGAUUAGGGUUAGGGAACGGGUGCAGAUUACGAUACAGGUUAGUGUAUGAGAAUGGGUUAGGGUUAGGGUACGUGUUGGGUGUGGGUUAUUGUUAGUGUACGGAUUAGGGUACGGGUUAGGUUAGGGUACGGUUAGGGUAAGAGUUAGGAUAAAAGUUAAGGUUAGAGUUAGGGUUAGGAAACAGGUGUGGUUUAGGGUACAGGUCAGAGUAGGACAACAGGUUAAGUUUAGGGUACGUGUUAGUGUACGGGUUAGGAUUAGGGUAUGGUAGGUUAAGGAUUAUGGUUAGGGAACGGAUAUGGUUUAGUGUACAGGUAAGGGUAUGACAAUGGGUUAAGGUUAGGGUACAUGUUAGGGUAUGGGAUACUGUUAGUGUACAGGUUAGUAUUAGGUUACGAAUUAGAGUAACAGCUAGGGUUAGGGAUCAGGCUUGGUUUAGGGUACAGGUUAGGGUACAACAACGUGUUAGGUUUAGGGUACUAUUAGGGUACAUGUUAGUGUAUGAAUUAGUAUUAGGGUACAGGUUGCGGUAAGGAUUAGAGUAAGGGUUAUGGUUAGGGUUACGGAACGGGUACGGUUUAGGUUACAGGUUAGGUUACGACAGCUGUUUAGGGUUAGGGUAUGGGUUAGGGUACGGGUUAGUGUACAGGUUAGGUUUAUGUUACAGGUUAGGGUAAGGGUUAGAGUUAGGAUUAGGCUUAGGGAAUGGGUAUGGUUUAGGGUACAGUUUAGGGUACGACAAUGGGUUAGGGUUACGUUGCAUUUUAGGUUACGGGUUAGUGUUAGUGUACGGGUUAGGGCAAGGGUUAGGGUUAAGUGUUACGGUUAAGGGUCAGGAUUAGGGUUACAGUUAGGGAACGGGUAUGGUUUAAGGUACAGGUUAGCAUACGACAACAGUUUAAGGUUAGGGUAUGUAUUAUGGUAUGGGUUAGUGUUAGUGUACUAGUUACGAUUAGGAUACGAGUUAGGGUAAGGGUUAACAUUAGGGUUAGUGUUAGAGAACGGUUUAGGGUACAGGUUAGGAUAUGACAACGGGUUAGGUUUAGGGUAUGUGUUAGGGUACGUGUUAGUGUACCAGUUAGGAUUAGCGUACGAGUUAGGGUAAGGGUUAGGGUAAGAGAUUUAGGGUUAGGGCUAGGGAAUGGGUAUGGUUUAGGGUACAGGUUAGGGUACGAAAACGGGUUAGGGUAUGUGUUAGGGUACAGGUUAGGAUUAGUGUAUGGG